rnacentral:rRNA from 1 species
UAAACGGAGUCUACACAUGCAGUCGAACGGUAACAGGGAAAAGCUUGCUUUUCCGCUGACGAGUGGCGCACGGGUGCGUAACGCGUAUGGAACCUACCCUUUACAGGGGGAUAGCCCGGAGAAAUCCGGAUUAAUACCCCGUAGUAUUAUGAUACGGCAUCGUAUUAUAAUUAAAGUUUCGGCGGUAGAGGAUGGCCAUGCGUCCUAUUAGUUAGAUGGUGAGGUAACGGCUCACCAUGGCAUCGAUAGGUAGGGGCCCUGAGAGGGGGAUCCCCCACACUGGUACUGAGACACGGACCAGACUCCUACGGGAGGCAGCAGUGAGGAAUAUUGGACAAUGGUCGAGAGACUGAUCCAGCCAUGCCGCGUGCAGGAAGACGGCCCUACGGGUUGUAAACUGCUUUUGUACGGGAAGAAUAAUGCCCACGUGUGGGCAGAUGACGGUACCGUACGAAUAAGGACCGGCUAACUCCGUGCCAGCAGCCGCGGUAAUACGGAGGGUCCGAGCGUUAUCCGGAAUCAUUGGGUUUAAAGGGUCCGCAGGCGGAUCAGUAAGUCAGAGGUGAAAGUUUGCAGCUCAACUGUAAAAUUGCCUCUGAUACUGCUGGUCUUGAGUUACGAUGAAGUGGCUGGAAUAUGUGGUGUAGCGGUGAAAUGCAUAGAUAUCACAUAGAACACCGAUUGCGAAGGCAGGUCACUAAUCGCCAACUGACGCUGAUGGACGAAAGCGUGGGGAGCGAACGGGAUUAGAUACCCCGGUAGUCCACGCCGUACACGAUGGACACUAGCUGUUGGGCCUUUGGUUCAGUGGCUAAGCGAAAGUGAUAAGUGUCCCACCUGGGGAGUACGUCGGCAACGAUGAAACUCACAGGAAUUGACGGGGGGCCCGCACAAGCGGUGGAGCAUGUGGUUUAAUUCGAUGAUACGCGAGGUACCUUAUCAGGUCUUAAAUGUAACUGCGACACGCUUAGAGAUAGGCUUUUUCUUCGGACUCAUUACAACGUGCUGCAUGCUUGUCGUCAGCUCGUGAGGUGAGCUGUCAGUUAGUCCUAUACCGAGCGCAGCCCCUAUCGUUAGCUGCAUGCGGGCUAAAGGCAGAGGAACUCUACGAACUGACUGAGCAAUCGUGCAGCAGCUGGGCAUGAACGUCUAAUCAAUCACGG